UCUUAUUUUCCUAUAUGAUUAUGCAAGCCACUUUAAACUGUAUUUUCAUCAUUGCUUUGCAUACAUCUUUUGUGGACCUUUCAGAUAUUGUUCCCCAUUUGUUACAACCUUACAACACAUCAACCUGGACCGUUGGUUGACUUGAUCCCUACUAUUGGAAAAUGGUACUCUUUAUACAUUUAGAUCUUACUUUUUUCCGUUUCUUUAGUUCUAGCAUGCCUAUACUUGCUCUGGCAUAUCAGUAGCUUGAGAUUUAACUUGCUUCCUUGACAUGUUUAUAUGCUUGAUGUUUUUUUUUCCUUUUUGACAUAGUUUUGGAGGGCCUCAAUCAUAACUUAGCGCCGUGCAUGACAUGCACAAUGCCAUCCCUCCUUCACGUUACAGCUUUGGCUACUAAUCUUAAUCAGCAUAUGUUUGAGUCAACUAACAUUUUGAAGACUAGAAAUUCCUUGGUUACUAUGGGUCAGAUAAAGAUGAUUCAGUCUAUUGGUACUCUUGAGGUCUACAACUCAGACUUACUUCCUAUAGUACUAAGAGCUUCCUCCUAUGCUAACUACUUCUAAUUUUGUGUUAUGGGUAGAUUAUAGUGUCAGCUUGUAUUUGAUGUUUCAUCUUAGAUGAUGUGUAAUAAUGGAACAAUGUUCUUGUGCACCCAGGUGGGACCCCUCCCUGUGUUUGACUAAUGUUAUCCCAGAACCAUGUAUUUGUACAUAUUUACCUACUUUCGGCACUUAUAAGUAGUGUAUUUCUUUAUUUUGCUGUUUGGUUUUACUAUACAUGACAUGAUGUCAUGAUGAUGUGUUCUUUAAACUCCUCUUCAUCUGCUGGCAAUUCUUCUGUAUAUUAAGUAAAAAUAAGGAUGGCUGUUUAAUAUAGCAUUUUACACAACUUUCAUGAGCGUGAAGGGGUGUGGAAGACGGGGUCGUGCACCAAGGCUGCUCAGGUCAUGUGUUAAGAAUGCAGAUUCUUACUAUUUAGCAAAAUCUUCAGUUGACAUACCUGGAGUCUGGAGAUGCAGUUACUUGAGUUUAUUUGUUGCCUAGGUACCUAACUGUGUGAUGGAAGUCACAAUUUUACACCUGAGGAUAUGUUGUAGCUUCAAAUUUUACCAUAACCAUGUGGUCUGUUCGAGGUGUUAAGAUUUCUAAUGAUCCUCAAGCUAGCAAGAGAAAGAAAAACUAACAAGCAUUAGAGCCACGUGAGCACAAUUUUCAUUGUACCAAUUUUGACUUCUUGGGUACUUGCUUCUAUUUUCUUCAGAUUUACUUUUCUUUGUUAUGUUCUUCCUCUCAUUGAUAAAAAAAUCUGCUUCAAUUCUGUUCUCUUCAAUCAUGAAUAAAAAUGCUAUCUCUUCAGCUUUUAAAUAUUAUAAAUUGGUGAUCAAUGUAUGAUACCACACUCUUCUACACAUACAACAUUUCAGUUAGCUAUUAAUCAUCUGAUUAAUGAUUACUGAGAACUUCAGUUAGUGGAUUUUACCUAUUGUACAACAGCUCCUUGGUCACAGCAGUAGAAACGAGGAUGAGCAUCUGUCUCUUCUCAAGGUGUCUAUGACCUUCGACGCCAUGGCGCUUGCCUCCCGUGGCAGUGCAUGUCAAUAGCCUUGAUGGCGGCGGCGACUGUCCAACCUGCAGUCAGGGUCGCAGGUCUGGCAGGCCAGAACCACCAAUCGAUGAUGCCCACCUCGUUCAAGCAAGGGCAGAGAAGCUCACUGCGGUGUCUUCAAUCGUCGAGCUGUCAAGCGGAAGGCUAGGCUCCGACUGUAGUCACCAGUAUUGAUUGGUGGUCACAGUAUCAGCAGAGGCGACAACGAUUGGUGCGCUGAGAAAAAUAGCUGAAACACAAUUUGGAGGGGUGGCGUUUACCGGAUCAGGUCGUCCUGCGGGCGUCGGCAGGCAUCGAGGACGCCAUCAAUUGAUGGUGAUAGAGCUGAGCUCCAAGCUCCAGGGAGUGGAGUGAGAAAGGGGAUCCAGAGAGACGACAUGCCGAUUCCCUGUUUAUAUUGUAUAAUAAAAAGUUAGUCCACAAUGCUAAAAAGCCCACCAGCAUAGGACUAUAGCCCAUGGCAUCAUUAGCAGGUAGCAGCCCAUGUACACCAAAGUGCCAUUUGUUCACACCAAUGUUCACAACAUCACUGCAAUAUAAGAAAGUUCAACUUUGUUAGCUCUCACCACUCUGACCUUCCUCAUAUUUGGGUUCACAUGCAAAGUAUUUUGUGUUACCACCAUGUCAUGUGUGCCGUGUGUGUUGUUUUCUUUUUACCAUGUCAGCUAUU